AACGUAGGUACCGAGCGUUAUCCGGAUUUACUGGGCGUAAAGCGUGUUCAGGCGGCCGCGCAAGUCGGGCAUGAAAUCUCUCGGCUCAACCGGGAGGGGUUGUCCGAUACUGCACGGCUGGAGGGCAGUAGAGGGUGGUGGAAUUCCGGGUGUAGUGGUGAAAUGCGUAGAGAUCCGGAGGAACACCAGUGGCGAAAGCGGCCACCUGGACUGUACCUGACGCUCAAACACGAAAGCUAGGGGAGCGAA
rnacentral:rRNA from 1 species